AAAAAGUAAAUUCACAAAAAUACUGAACUUAGGGAGCUACCAUUUGAUUUUUAUGGGGGGGCUAGGAUGAAAUUUGAAAAAAAUAGGCAGGACAGGAGUUUUGAGUAAAAAAAAAAGGCAGGAUGAGCAACUUGGUAAAAAAAAAAGGCAGGAUGACAAUUUGUGUAAAAAAAGUCAGGAUAACUAGUAAAAAAAAAGGCAGGACCGAAUAGAGUAAAAAAAUAAAAAGGCAGGACAGAGAUUCAACAAAAAAAAGCAGGACAAAAUUUUUCAUCCUAGCCCCCCCAUAAAAAUCAAAUGGUAGCUCCCUUAGAGGAAAAUCAAUUCGGAAAGUCCAUAAUCACAUGGCAAAAUCAAAUAACAAAA
rnacentral:lncRNA from 1 species